rnacentral:rRNA from 1 species
ACGCUGGCGGCAGGCCUAACACAUGCAAGUCGAGCGGAAACGACACCAUCGAUUCUUCGGAUGAUUUAAUGGGCGUCGAGCGGCGGACGGGUGAGUAAUGCCUAGGAAAUUGCCUUGAUGUGGGGGAUAACCAUUGGAAACGAUGGCUAAUACCGCAUAAUGCCUACGGGCCAAAGAGGGGGAUCUUCGGACCUCUCGCGUCAAGAUAUGCCUAGGUGGGAUUAGCUAGUUGGUGAGGUAAUGGCUCACCAAGGCGACGAUCCCUAGCUGGUCUGAGAGGAUGAUCAGCCACACUGGAACUGAGACACGGUCCAGACUCCUACGGGAGGCAGCAGUGGGGAAUAUUGCACAAUGGGCGAAAGCCUGAUGCAGCCAUGCCGCGUGUAUGAAGAAGGCCUUCGGGUUGUAAAGUACUUUCAGUUGUGAGGAAGGGGGURWMGUUAAUAGCKKYRYMUCUUGACGUUAGCAACAGAAGAAGCACCGGCUAACUCCGUGCCAGCAGCCGCGGUAAUACGGAGGGUGCGAGCGUUAAUCGGAAUUACUGGGCGUAAAGCGCAUGCAGGUGGUUCAUUAAGUCAGAUGUGAAAGCCCGGGGCUCAACCUCGGAACUGCAUUUGAAACUGGUGAACUAGAGUGCUGUAGAGGGGGGUAGAAUUUCAGGUGUAGCGGUGAAAUGCGUAGAGAUCUGAAGGAAUACCAGUGGCGAAGGCGGCCCCCUGGACA